GGAAGUAGAAGUCGUAACAAGGUCUCCGUUGGUGAACCAGCGGAGGGAUCAUUACCGAGUUUACAACUCCCAAACCCCUAUGUGAACGUUACCAAACUGUUGCCUCGGCGGGAAAUUCAUGCCCCGGGCGCGUCGCAGCCCCGGACCAAGGCGCCCGCCGGAGGACCAACCAAAACUCUUUUGUAUGUCACUCGCGGACUUUUAUAAUUCUGAACCAUCUCGGCGCCCCUAGCGGGCGUUUCGAAAAUGAAUCAAAACUUUCAACAACGGAUCUCUUGGUUCUG
rnacentral:misc_RNA from 1 species